CCUGUGAAUAAAGGAAGAGAAUAAGAACAAGGCAAGUAUUUGCUAGACAUCCUUUUAGCAUGCCCUUCCCCCCAAGCAAACAUCCACAAUCAAUGCAAGUAAGCACUAUACGUGGGCUCCCUGCUCCUGCAACCCCAGCACGUCUCAAACAUGUAACCAUGGUGAAUGUCCUGAUGAUUACAGCCUGCAGAUAUACUGCUCCUCAGAAACGUAACAUCUGCCAUGUUUCCCGUGUCUGCUUUAAAUCACUACACAGAUCUGAGAGCUCCUCGGGGAUUCAUAGCAUCUACGUGGGGCCUAAUGAGAGGGAGGUUUUUAGGAGUAGGUGUUUUAAUUAGGCUUUGGGGGCAGACGGGAUCCAGAAGUCUACCUUCAAGCUGCAAGCAAGGGAAGGAGCUGACCUGUAGCAUCAGCAGGAUAAUUAGUAGACAGAUGAAACUACAGAUACAAGUCUUAUUGUUCAUAUCUGCAUUCUACAGCCAUCCACACCCACAAAAAAGCAUCUGUACCUCAGUUCAAGCCCUCCAAUAAAUUCUAAGGGGGACCUCAAACCAGCAUGCUUGACCUUUUUUUAGACCCUUAUGUAUCUCCUGUUUUAAUCCCAAACAACCCUAGUCACCGUGACUAUCCAAUUGUUGGCUCCAGUACUGCAAAUUCUGAGCUGUUCCUCAUGGAGCUACCCAGAAGCUGGAGAAAUCCUGCUGUCCUGCUAUGGUUGAGCAGCCACAGUGUACCUCUGGCAGCUGCCAGAAUAAUAUUUAAAAGCAAAGUCAAAAUAGGCAAUAGGAUUCCCUUCUCCCUGGGAACAGCUGCUGUCAGACUGCUAUUGCUUCCUGCCAGGGCUCUGGGCCACCCCAUACCCUGCUGAGCAUGCAAAUCCCAACUCCAAGCUGUCAGCUGCUCCCUCAUGGAGACGAUACCAGCCCUGUGAGUCGGGAGCAGCAGGGGUUCCUCACAGCACAUGUUAAUCCUUUGCUGAAUGAUCUGCGUCAGCUCUGCUGUCCUUGUGCCAAGCUGGCACCCUCGCAGCAUGUAGUCCAGGGCAGAGCACAGGUCCUUGGACUUCCCUACUGUAAAAUGCACUUUCAGCUAAUCCUUCUGCUGUUAUACAAAGAACAGCAGAAAAAUGGCUCCAAGUGUCUAGCCUUGCUUGCUUGGUAUCUCAAGAAAAACAGAAGAAAAGUCGGGCUCCCAAGAACAACAGCCCAAUCCGUGCAGGGCAGCACACUAGCAAUCAGCCCCACUAUUCCUGAAGCCCCCCAGAUGCCACUCUCUCCUUUCCUUCUCACACUGGUUCUCUUCCUGCUUUUGUGAAAAAGCAGAUCUGAAAAACUUCAUUUUUCCCAGCAGGUUCAGAAGACAUCAUUUGGUAUCAUCAAAGCAGCAAGGAGGGUUUGGCAGGGAACAAACACAGCUCCUCCAGAAGGAGAGCCCACAUUUGGGACCAGCAGAUCCAGUUUAACCCCCAGUCUGGAAGCUGAAACCACAUUUGAUUUGACUGCCUACCCUCCUCUCACACCCACACUCAAACCUGAAGUGGCAGAGCAGCUUUUAAGCCACCAAGACAGAUGAAUCGUGACAGUAUUUGCAAUUCAAAGUUGAACCUACAAGGCAGCGUCCUCAAUUAUGUGAGCUGUCACAUGCUGAAAGCAGUGAUGUGUCUCAGCAAGUAUGCACACCACAGAGUCACUCUGUGUCCCGGUGCCUCCCAGAUUUCCAGCCCCAGGUAGACUUUCCAGAUGCAGUUUUGCUAACAGUACUGAAAACACCAGUUCUAAACAUGAGUCAUGACACUGGCACACCACUAUGUGCUGUAAAGGUAUGGCUAAUAUCCAUUAGAUCUUAAAGUGCAGUAAGACUGCCUGCUUAGGCCUUUGUUCCCAUUUUUGCGUUCCCACUUCAAGAAUCCCUAGGGGAAGAAUUCUCAUGCAGAAGAGAUUGCUUCAGGGCAAAAUAGAUGCCUGGUUUGCAUGCAACCAUCUUCCCACAGCUCUUCAAGCAAGUGUCCUCUUCGUCAUAGCCUCACCUUCCCCUGUAGAUUGCCAUUGAGGCCACCAUGACCAUGAGUGCUUGGCUUUGUGCUCACACAAACUUCAGCAGUGAGCCUGAGGAGACCCAAUGAAGUACUGCACUGAUACAAAGGAAAAAGCUAAAUCCUUGGCAUGUGGUGGUGAUUAUUUGGUUUAAUUUAUGUAUAACUGUACCUAGAGCAACCCAUGCCUGCAGCACUUGCUCUGCCUCUACUUGCAGACCAGCCAGUCUGUAUUCUGAUUGCACACUCCUCCAUAAGCAUCACAAAAGGAAACAUCAGUUCUGCUGUUCUGCUCUGAAGGGUAGCCCUGCAACAGCACAGACACAAACUCAUGCUGGAUACCUGGGCCAGGCCAAUGUCCGCAGAGAGGUGAGGAUAACUGCCUGCACCAGAGAGCAGUUGUGUAUUGCCACAAAAGGAAGAUAUGGCCAUAUUUCCUCCCUGUGUUCCUGGUGUACAGCUUUUGGUCAGAUGCAGAGGCAGCUCCAUUAUUCCUUCUGUUUUUGAGUUGUGAUUUGGGUUGAGAUGACUUCUUCAGAGCCCUUGCCAACAAUCAGACCAUGCAUGCUUCAAAGCACACUUUGCUGGCCUAUAGGAAAUACCCAUGAAAUGCCAGAUACCCGUGACGGAUCAGAUGGUUCAGAGGGACGCUGACAGUAAGAAAGGAAAGCACUUGCAUCAGUGUUCAGUUGCUCUGUGCUGGCAGACAGACAAGCCCAGCUGUAAGCCUACUUGGCUUUCUAACAGACAGAAGGGUUUUGCAUGAAGGAAGGAAAAUCUUACCCAGGCUUUUGCUUUCUGCUGCAUUUUCUACACAGCUUGCACUGCCACAGGGGUAUGCUAGGUGGCACAAGGUUCCCUGUCCACAUGUCAAUGAUCUACAGCAAGGGCACAGGGCUGAGAGAUUUUGCUGCAGCCCGCCAGGCCAUCUCCUUUCUCAUGGAGCUGUCAGGAGGAUACAUUUGCACAGUACGAGCCCAAUGGCAUUUCUGUGGUGUCAGUAAGGAUCUGGGACAACAAGCAAGCAGUGGACAAGCAGGAUCUAAGCCCUGGCUGCAUGCUGCUGCUCACAUCAUCCUUCUCUCUUGGGAUCUUGAUAUAUCAGCCAUGCUUCACAAUAGGAACACAGAACUUAUUCCUACAUCCUGCCCUGCCUCAUCACUGCCCUCUCACUCUAUUCCAUACCCCCAAACUGCUGCAGUCAUAUCCUUGCUUUUGUAGCUUUACUGCUCUUUUGCUUUCAUACCCCAAAUCCCUUCUCUGUGCUGUGUCUCAUAACAAGCCUGCUUCUAUUUCAGGUCAUUUAAAUCUUGUCUUCACCACUCUUGGCUUGGAUGAAACAUAAAAGCCGCUUCCUGCAAAUGCUGCUGUACAGCACGCAUAAACUUAUUCUCAAGGACUGCACUCCAAAAAGCACUACUCCCUGUUGCCAGGACUGCUGGGAUGCAGAACCACUGCACACCAGGCCAGAGAACCUCAGGUCAACUGCAGAGCGCCCUGCUCAGCACAGGCCCCAGCACUGCCCUUGUUGACAUCGCCCACGCUGCCCUUCAAGCCCAAGAAGCCCUGAGACCAUCACCCUAGGGGCAGAUGUUCUGCAAGGCCUCCCUGAAAGCCAGCCUGGUGAGACACAUGGAGAGAUGUCCUCCCUGGAUACUGCAGCCUCCAAGUUUAGCCAUAAACUUGAUCACACAAAUACCAGCUUGGUCACAGGAACACCAAACACCCUCCUUCCUUUCCCAGUUCAUGACAGUCAGUUAGCACUUGACCUCUCACUGUCACAGCAGAAGAGAACACCAUCACAACUCAAUAGUUGCUAAAGCUCCAGGGAAGCUCCUGACACUGGGCUGAGCGUACCUGUAGGUGGAGAACUUGGGUAGAAGGCAUUUCAGAUGCUCAGCUCAGCAGCUAAAGGAGAGCAAUUAUUCAAAAUGCAAAUCUGCAUCUCAUUUUACGUCUCAGUGGUUUCUCUGAGCUCACCCCUACUAAUGCUAAUAACAUUUGGAAAACAUUAUGUUCGUCUCAAAACACCAUUUUAAAACAUUUUUUUUCUCAGGGCCACAUAAUUAUAGCCGGAACUGAAACUCAAUUAAAACAAAAAAAAACAGCAUUUCCAAAACCAGACAAUAUCAUACUUCCCAUCUCCAUACUCACAAGCCAGAACAGAGACAGCAGAAGCAAAUAAUCAAAAUAACUCCAUCAAGAUGCAGAUUCUCUCAAAAGAAGUCGUGAAGGUUUGAGCCCUUCUAUCUUGUUCUGACGAUCUGAAAGAAGCAGCUCAGGAAUACCUAAUGCCUAAGCCAGCACAGGCAGCUAUCAGUGUGGCUCCAUGACACAGCAACACCUCUCUCCUCUUUCUGCAGCUCACAGAGAGGUUUCAUGCAGUUGCACUGCCAUCUCAGUAACAGAUGGGCCAGAAGGAGACUGAUUUUUGACAUGAAAGCAAUGCCUUUUCUCUGAUUUGUCCUCCAUCUAUUUCAGAUAGUAUUUCAGCAUAAGUAGCCCCUCUUGUCCAGCUCUGCUGUUCCCUGUCCUGUAAGGCACUCGUCCUUUGUGUUUCCUACUGCAGGGGGCAUGUGGAAGCAAACAGCCCCUGCUCCUGAGAGCCAACAAUGGAGAAAGGAGGCGGCCACAGGGGACAAAUAUAUAGGACAUGAAAAUGAGAGUGGGUGCUGGGGAAAAGCUGAAACAGAAAAUGAGAAAUCCUCCAAAUUGCUGAGUAUUUCAUCACCAUUCUAAUAUCUGCCCUAAAAAGCAUCCUGGAAUCAGCAGGCUGCAACACAGCUCUUACAGAUGACUGCAAUACAAAGCCAUGAAAAAUUGAUUUGCUUCAUUAACAUUUUAGGACCUUAUUAGCUGGAACGAAAUUGACUGUCAAGGCAUUUUAAGGGCGAGUCACAGUAUAACGAGCUCAGAGCAAAUUAUCUUCAUCCCAAAAUAGAAAGAGGUCUGUUACUGAGUAACCAAGCCCAGAAUCUACCUUUAGGUUAUUUUUAAUUCCACCCUUUUGACCAUAGCUGGGCACUUUUUCAUCCUGGCAAAGCAGGGACCAGAUGGAAAGAAAGCUGCCAACUGCACUAGUCUGGCUGCUCUCAUCCAGUAACAGCAGGGCUGCACACAAGAGCAGCCACCUGAAUAUCAGACACUGCAGCUUCAGCCAGUACAAACAGACAGUUCCCACCAGCCUACCUUUCAAACAAAGUAAGCCCAAAGCUAUUACACUCAGCACAGAAGAGAUGUUGAGCUUUCUCCUCCAUCUAGAGGAUCAGAAUGUAGCAGGUCCCACUGGAAGGAAAAAUGGAGUCUAAAAAAAGCUCUCAAAGCCAUUACUUUGACAAACAAAGCAAACAGGCAAUGUUCUCCCAUGUCUGCAGGGAAUGACUGGGACUGGUCAAACUGGCAUUUUGCUAGCACCAGCUCCCUGGAUUUGGGUUACAUGUUAAAAGCUGGCAAGACAAAAAGCCAGCUCCUGGAAGGAACCAAAGAGAGGCUUACCAGAUUCUGUCCUAUGGACUGCUAGCUAGUCAUAGGGCAGGAGCAAGACUCAGUCUGACCACCUGCUGAUCACAGAGGAGAUUGAGGCAAGCACAUAAGACACUUUCUUUGGGCAGAAGCUAGCCGAGGGUUGGGAGAAAUAGAAAAAAUCAAAUCAAAACACACACAGAAGGCGUGUACGUACCUGUGCUUCCCAACAGUUUUUCUGGAGAUUAAAUAAACUCCUCCCAGAUAAAAGCAACUUGACUCCAUUGGUUGUUCUUCUUACCUUAAAGCCAUUCCAACCCUCCCAAUGUGAACAGUAAAAUGAAUUGGAGGAGGGAGCUGCUUUUUCAAACCUGCAUGGCAAGUAUUCACUUCCAGAUCACUUAAGGUGAGAAGCACACACAAAACUCUAAACCCUCCCUGCAUACCAUUCUUCAGAAUAAAACAGGGAGCCAAUUAUGCAAAAGAGUGAAUUCCUUCACCAGCACUCAAGUGGUUUAAGGAGCACAGUCUAAUCAGCUUAGCUCCCAUUCAGGCUUACAUCAAAAAGGUAUUUUACCUGUUAAUUGAACCAACUCACACUCAUCCCUUAAAGACGAAAGGGAAGCCCCAUUUCAAACUAUUAAGAAGCCUCUGUACUUUGGAAUUUGAUCUGUGCACGUACAUUGCAGGAUUUAUUCUACACGUGUGCUCAAUUUGAGCAAAACGUUUUCUUGCUGCUUUUUCUACAGUCACCCAGUUUCUCCUGGUUAAUAAAUAACAGCACACUGCAAACAGAGGGCAGGUAUGGCUUCAGCUGAGUAGAUACCAUUUGAUUUCAAGUACUUCUAUUAUUAACAAAGUUGCUGGUUUUGAAGUACAAGUAAGCUGCUGGAUUUGCGCUGCUCAGUGGUCAAGAACAAAGCUCUGUCUGUCCCUUUACUAGUAAGAGCUUUCCAAAACCUUUUCUUCUUGUCCUCUUUUCCAGAAGAGAUGAGGAUUAAUCUUUUAAAUCUAUUUUUCCUCUUUAUUUUUUUUUUUAGUGAAACUCCAGUAUUUCCAAUCAUUUGACCACUUUUCUUCGAACCUUCUUGUUCCCUAAUACCCAAAUGAGUGACAACUAAGAGUUAUAAAUCAAGGUGAUAACUCACUUUUGCUUGCAAACAUAUUUUGCCUAUGGGAAACCGCUUAUUUAUGGACCGCAUCGUAGACUGUUUCACUACCUUUGCUGAAAGCAACUCUUAGCCCUUUUAUUCUGCCACUGGAACGCCUUCCAAAAUGAGAAGUCAUGUGAGUUCAGAAACAAUAGUUUUGCUGCUUAACUCCCGCAGAGUUCAUCACCUGCUAAAUGCCAUCUGGUCUUGAGUUUUUACUGCCCCCAAAUAAAGCGCAGCAUCCUUCUCUGCUGCUUAAAAAGCACUUCUCCCAUUGCAGCCACAUUUGCCACUGAACCAGGAGGGAGCCUUGGGGGCUGUAAGGAACAUAUCAGUCUCCCAGGGAAACAUUUCACUCCUCCAGCACCUCCUCUAUCAUCCUGCACCUCCCCAGGGGUGCCAUGCUCUGCAGUGGGGCUCCAGGACAGGGCUUCAGCAAGCUUCAGGGCUGCUAAGAAGCCACGAGUUACCUUAGAGCGCUUUCCACAAAGCAGUAGCACAGCCAAGGAUGCAAAUCUACCACAUACCAACUCACACAACGUACUGUUCUAAGAAAAACAAGGAGCAACUGCUCUUGGCUCAAGCCAAGGGAGAGUGCAAGCCAGCCAAGAACCAGCAGAAUCUUUCUCUCCACUAGGCAAAAAAAGUGUGCUCCAUAAGUAAAAAAAAAAA